UCAGUGAAUCAUCGAAUCUUUGAACGCACAUUGCGCCCGCCAGUAUUCUGGCGGGCAUGCCUGUUCGAGCGUCAU
rnacentral:rRNA from 5 species